rnacentral:rRNA from 1 species
UUGCCAGACUCCUACGGGAGGCAGCAGUGGGGAAUAUUGCACAAUGGGGGAAACCCUGAUGCAGCGACGCCGCGUGAGCGAUGAAGUAUUUCGGUAUGUAAAGCUCUAUCAGCAGGGAAGAAAAUGACGGUACCUGACUAAGAAGCCCCGGCUAACUACGUGCCAGCAGCCGCGGUAAUACGUAGGGGGCAAGCGUUAUCCGGAUUUACUGGGUGUAAAGGGAGCGUAGACGGCUGUGCAAGCCAGAUGUGAAAGCCCGGGGCUCAACCCCGGGACUGCUCUGGAAACUGUGCGGCUAGAGUACUGGAGGGGCAGGCGGAAUUCCUAGUGUAGCGGUGAGAUGCGUAGAUAUUAGGAGGAACACCAGUGGCGAAGGCGGCCUGCUGGACUGAAACUGACGUUGAGGCUCGAAAGCGUGGGGAGCAAACAGGAUUAGAUACCCCAGUAUG